AUUAUGGAUCGUUUGAAAUUACAUGUAGACGUUCUAGCUAUCCACCCAAUCAACUUCUAACACAUAAUUCAGUCUUUAAUAUUGUGGGACCAAACAGAAAAUAAUAUAUAUGUGCAUGCCUCAAAAUUCUCAGUGCAAAAUGCACACACACCCAUUGUGAUAGGAAAAUAAAAGCUCUCGAACAAGGAAGGGAAAAUUUAGGGUUGUUAGCGUCAAGAACAAUGGUUCUAGAAGCAUAAUAUUUAUGAAAGGAAUAGCUUGUAUUCAUUAAACACACACAUAUACUUUUUUAAAAAAAAAGAGUAUAAUUAGUGGAGUGUGGAGAGAUAAUACUGGAGGAUGGGAAGAAAAGAGGAGGGGAGCAGGUAAGAUAAGAGUAGAUAUCUUCUUUGAAGGAAUCUGUUGACCGUUGAAGGGAGAGUUAUUGAAUUUGGAAUCACUAUUGUUUAUGGUGACUCUUCAUCAUUUAUUUUACAAGAGACAAAUUUUACCUCUUAAUAAAAAUCUCAAGACAUA
rnacentral:lncRNA from 1 species